rnacentral:rRNA from 1 species
UACGGGGGGGGCAAGCGUUGUUCGGAAUUACUGGGCGUAAAGGGCUCGUAGGUGGCCAACUAAGUCAGACGUGAAAUCCCUCGGCUUAACCGGGGAACUGCGUCUGAUACUGGAUGGCUUGAGGUUGGGAGAGGGAUGCGGAAUUCCAGGUGUAGCGGUGAAAUGCGUAGAUAUCGAGAGGAACACCGGUGGCGAAGGCGGCUACCUGGACAGUGACUGACGCUGAGACGCGAAAGCGUGGGGAGCAAACAGG